GUAGGUGGCAAGCGUUGUCCGGAAUUAUUGGGCGUAAAGAGCAUGUAGGCGGCCUAUUAAGUCGGGCGUGAAAAUGCGGGGCUCAACCCCGUAUGGCGCCCGAUACUGGUGGGCUUGAGUGCAGGAGAGGAAAGGGGAAUUCCCAGUGUAGCGGUGAAAUGCGUAGAUAUUGGGAGGAACACCAGUGGCGAAGGCGCCUUUCUGGACUGUGUCUGACGCUGAGAUGCGAAAGCCAGGGGAGCGAACGGGAUUAGAUACCCCGGUAGUCCUGGCCGUAAACGAUGGGUACUAGGUGUAGGAGGUAUCGACCCCUUCUGUGCCGGAGUUAACGCAAUAAGUACCCCGCCUGGGGAGU
rnacentral:rRNA from 1 species